rnacentral:rRNA from 1 species
UUUUCUUUGAAACAAACUUGCUUUGGCGGUGGGCCCAGCCUGCCGCCAGAGGUCUAAACUUACAACCAAUUUUUUAUCAACUUGUCACACCAGAUUAUUACUAAUAGUCAAAACUUUCAACAACGGAUCUCUUGGUUCUCGCAUCGAUGAAGAACGCAGCGAAAUGCGAUACGUAAUAUGAAUUGCAGAUAUUCGUGAAUCAUCGAAUCUUUGAACGCACAUUGCGCCCUCUGGUAUUCCGGAGGGCAUGCCUGUUUGAGCGUCGUUUCUCCCUCAAACCGCUGGGUUUGGUGUUGAGCAAUACGACUUGGGUUUGCUUGAAAGACGGUAGUGGUAAGGCGGGAUCGCUUUGACAAUGGCUUAGGUCUAACCAAAAACAUUGCUUGCGGCGGUAACGUCCACCACGUAUAUCUUCAAACUUUGACCUCNAAUCAGGUAGGACUACCCGCUGAACUUAAGCAUAUCA